rnacentral:piRNA from 1 species
UGAGAGUCGAGGCCUGAAGA